CGCUCUUUGGAAUAGUUGUAUUAAUAUAAAGAGUCGGACCUGCCCAGUGACGUAGUGUUAAACGGCCGCGGUACUCUGACCGUGCAAAGGUAGCAUAAUCACUUGCCUUUUAAUUGGAGGCUUGUAUGAAUGGUUUGACGAGAGCUAAGCUGUCUCCUUUUUAAAUAUUUAGAAAUUAAUUUAUAGGUGAAGAGGCCUAUAUAUAUUUGAGGGACAAGAAGACCCUGUUGAGUUUGAGUGUAAUUGAAAAUAAAUUGUUGCUCAUAGUUUCAGGACUGUGGGUGGUAGGGAUUCUAUAAUAUAGAAAUUGUGUUUUCUUAUAAUCUUUAGUUGGGGCGACUGAGGAGCAUGAGAAGCUUCCUUUAAAGAAUUAUGGUUAGCAGGCUAAUUUGAUCCAACUUUUGUUGAUCAAAGGAAAAAAUUACCAUAGGGAUAACAGCGUAAUCUUUUCGGAGAGUUCUUAUCGAAGAAAGGGUUUGCGACCUCGAUGUUGGACUAAGAUAUCCCAGGGGUGUAGAAGUUCCUGAAGGUUGGUCUGUUCGACCAUUAAAAUCUU
rnacentral:rRNA from 1 species